rnacentral:rRNA from 1 species
GACGAACGCUGGCGGCGUGCCUAAUACAUGCAAGUCGAGCGGUGAAGGAGAUACUUGUAUCUUUUGAAGAGCGGCGAACGGGUGAGUAACGCGUGGGGAAUCUGCCAAUGAGUGGGGGACAACAUUUGGAAACGAAUGCUAAUACCGCAUACAAUCUAUUGAGACAUCUCAAGAGAUUGAAAGGAACAAUUGUUUCGCUCGUUGAUGAUCCCGCGUCGUAUUAGCUAGUUGGUGAGGUAAGGGCUCACCAAGGCGAUGAUACAUAGCCGACCUGAGAGGGUGAUCGGCCACAUUGGGACUGAGACACGGCCCAAACUCCUACGGGAGGCAGCAGUAGGGAAUCUUCGGCAAUGGACGAAAGUCUGACCGAGCAACGCCGCGUGAGUGAAGAAGGUUUUCGGAUCGUAAAGCUCUGUUGUUGUUAAAGAACGUUGAUGAGAGUGGAAAGUUCAUCAAGUGACGGUAAACAACCAGAAAGGGACGGCUAACUACGUGCCAGCAGCCGCCGUAA